GUGUUGCAAGGUAUAAAUUCUAAUAUGAAUUCUUCAGCUGAUUUGGGGCAGAGGAGGGGGGAGGAAGUUCUGUUCAAAUUUGGUUUUUCCAAUGGCUUUGGAAGAAAUUAUAUCGCUAUUGUUAUUACAGGUGUCCAGUUUGCAAAUGACAAGGUAUGCUACAAUCUAUUCUUCUUUGGUAGAUUUGAUUCAAAUUGGUAGAUUUCGGCAAGAAAUAAACUUUUAUCUUUUCUUUUAGUUAAAGACAGUUAGGACAUCAAUUUGUAAAAGAUAUGAAUAUUAACAAUGGUGAUAGAACCAUCAAUCCAUAUAGUUGUAAAUAGAUUUGAACAUAUAUGUAAAUAUUAUAUAUUAUUGCAUA